GGAGGUUUCACCUGCAGCUACAACUAGACCCCUAACCUGGGAACUUCCCUAGGCCCCAGGGGUGGCCUUAAAAAAAUAAAAGUUUGCCAUUCAAAGGUCAGUCUCCCACAGGAGCUCGCCACACAUGUAGGAUCAGAGAACCACAAUCUGCCCCCCGCCCCCAUGCUGUCGGCACUGAACGCAAGCAGACAAUGGUGUGGACCUGCUACCAGGACGCUCCCCGCCUCCCCUCUGCCCUGGGGGCCGCCCCGCUCCGCGUCUCACCCCCAGACCCAGCACGGCCUGUGAUCCACCCCCCCACCUCCGAGGUGUUCUCAGCAAAGACCCCAGGCCCGGGGCCUCCAUCUAAGCUGGGCCAGGACAGCAGGAAGGAGCAGGCCUUGCAGGGCGUCCAGCCACCCAGGGACGCGGUACAGGCGCAGGAGGACCAGCCUAGGGGGCGAAACUGAGUUGGGGGAGCUCUGAGAAAUGCCCCAGGGCAAGGCCGUGCCUGCAACCACCAGAAUGCGGACGCCCAGGCCCCCUGAAGCCUUGGGGCUGAGCGAUCUGUCAAGCGCAUCCUCAAGGCCACAGCGGGCCACAGGCCCGAGCAGGAAACGGCCACCCACAGGGCAGGUACGAACCCCCAACUGGAGACUCAGCAAUGGGUCUGAGGGGGUGGGGCUCCCUCUCACAGGCUCUCUGCUGGAAGCCACCAUCCGGUCCUACCUGCUCCAGGACACACAGGGUGGAGGGCCUGUGCACCCAGGUGCCCACUCAGCCUCUGGCCACGGGUUCCUGUGCCCCGGCCAGGCCAUACCGACCCCCUUCCGGCCACAGACAGCGGGGGGCUGCUCGGGUGACCCGAGCCAGCAGGCACUCAAACCCUUGGCAGGAUGCCCCACAGGUCCCUGGGGAGCAAAUGGGCCUGCGUGGUUACAGGAACUUGGCUCAGGGCCUGGCACCAGCCAGCGCCCACUGGCAGUGAGCCGUGGCCGCUGUUUAUUACAUGACCCACCCUUCCUGCACCCCCCCGUCCCUGGGGAACCGUCCCAGAAGACACUUCCCACAGCCGCAGGGAGGGCCACUGGAGCCCCAGAACCCUCUACGGGAAA
rnacentral:lncRNA from 1 species